rnacentral:lncRNA from 1 species
CCUGGGUUGAAAAGAACCUCAAAGAUAAUCUAGUUUCAGCUCCCCUGCUAUGUGCACGGUCACCAGCAGUAGACCAGGCUGCCCAGAGCCACAUCCAGCCUGGCCUUGAAUGCCUCCAGGAAUGGGGCAUCCACAACCUCCUUGGGCAACCUGUUCCAGUGCGUCACCACCCUCUAUGUGAAAAACUUCCUCCUAAUAUCUAAGCUAAACCUUCCCUGCCUCAGUUUAAAACCAUUCCCCCUUGUCCUAUCAAUAUCCAUCCUUGUAAACAUGCAUUCCCCCGUAUUUAUGAUAGUAGACAUAUUCAUUACUGUUAGACAGAAGACUUUCCUGCUUUCCUCUCUCUUCUUUUAGGCUAUGGUUCUGGCAUCCUAAAACAGACCACCUAGGGAGCUCUUGUUCCAGGUGUAUUGUGAAAAGUAAUUCCUGGUUUCAGACUUUUCUAUACUUUCUUGUACUUAGAGCUCUUCUUUUUCCUGUACUUAUUUGUCUAACAGAGGUGCCUCCUAAACAAUUACACAUAUGUAAAAUUCAGGCCAGCCCUUCACAGCUCUCUGGAUGGAGAA